AUAUCCUUUUCAUUUCUAAAAAUACACAUCAAGAUUAAGCGUUUUUGCUCUAUAAAAUCUCAGUUGUUAUAUUAAGUCGGAAGAAUCAUUGAGUCGAUCGGUUCACAGUAAAUUAAAGUAGCUUGCGAUCUGAAAGCGAUUUGCGAAUUUUGAUUGGAAAUACCAAAUUCAACGAUUAUGGUUACCGCAAAUGAAACAACCCAACCAGAUGCUGUACCAUCGAAUGUUACGGAGAAAUCUAAGCUACCAUUUUACCGCAAUUUUCUCACCUUUCCUGCCAUUUUAAAGACAGUCUGUUUGAUCUUUGAGUUUUCCGGUUUUAUCUGUGCACUGUGCGACAACGAAUAUUCGGGAUCCGUUAAAUUUUUUUACAUUAUUAUGAUAUUAAUUGCAUUUAUUUCGACGGUGCUAUGGUUUAUUUGGUAUUUUAUACAGCGCAAUCGUGAAUCUCCGUUGAUCUUCUUGUUGAAAGUUGAGAUGUAUUAUCAUGCAACGGGUUCACUCAUUCUAUUGCUGGCCGCAGUGUUGAUACUGAACCGUAAUAAAGUUUUAUUGGCUGCAUCUAUACUUGGCUUCAUAACAGCUGUUGGUUAUGUGAUCGAAACGCUGUUCAAUUAUUGGAAAUUAAAGCGAAUUUCACAAGGCAAUGGAGAAAACGAACUACUUCAAUCGUAGUUCCUACCAAUUUUCAUUCAUUCAUUUCA